CCAGGCUAGGGGUUGAAUCGUAGCUGCAGUUGCCAGCCUACACCACAGCCAUAGCAAUGUCAGAUCCUUAACCCACUGAGCGAGGUCAGGGAUCGAACAUGCAUCCUCACGGAUGCUAGCCGGGUUCAUUUCUGCUGCACCAUGGCAGGAACUCCUCAAAGAGCAUCUUUACAUAGAGAGCAGUACUUAGGAGCACAGUCACAGCAUCAGAAGGACUUGGGGUUAAGUCCAAAUCUGUCACGUUAUGAAGCCCGGUGAAUUGGGGCAACUUCCCUGAGCCUCAGUUUGCACAUCUCUGACACAAAGUUGAUAAUACGUACUUCUUGGGGCUAUGUUGAGGAUUAAAUUAGAUAAUAAUACACAAAUAGCUUAGCACAAUUAUUAAGAUCAAUGAUAUUAAUGAUAAUAUAAUCAUCCUCCCAACAACUCCGUGAGGCAGUAGGUUUUAGAUUCUAAUUUUCUAGAUGAGGAAAUUGAGGCUUUAAGAAAGAAUAAGUAACUCCUUUAGGAUCACGUGACCCAGAAAAGGCAGAAGCGAGCCUUCAAAUCCUACAUUCUUCACCUAAACACACUCAACCCUCCCUGGUUAGCUUGACAUGCUUUUUAGGGUCACACCUGAGGCAUCUGGACGUUCCCAGACCAGGGAUCAAAUUGGAGCUAUAGCUGCCAGCCCACACCCCAGCCAUGGCCACAAAGCAUCUGAGCCACGUCUGCAGCCUACACCACAGCUCACAGCAACGCCAGAUCCUUAACCCACUGAUCGAGGCCAGGGAUCAUACCCGCAUCCUCAUGGAUCCUAGGUGGAUUCAUUUCCACUGCGCCCCUACGGGAACUCCUACCUGUGCCGUUUUCAUAUUUAGGGUCUGGCAAUCCCGACUUGUAGGCCGGGUAAUUAGGGGUGAGGAGAAGAGAAGCUAAUCUGUGCGUUCACAUCAGAGAAAAGACAGCCUUCACCCCAAGCUGCACUUUGUCAUCUUCUCUCUAUGCAUUUUCUCUCUUGCCAGGAGCCCUUGGGCGUCGAGACCUCUGAGUACACCCCUGUCCCCUUCACACCCUUCUUGACGUUAAAACUGGAUCAUUUCAAGCCUGGAAACCUGUCAGUUUCCAGAGUGAAGAGCCACAAUUUCAGGCUUAAAUUAAAACCAGGGAGAAAAUGUUCUAUUCCGUCCAUCAGAAAAAGCUUCAUCUCCCUCAAACCUGCUUCAUCCCUGCUCUUUCUCUGAAUAGACUUGACAGAAUAAUUAUUUGGAUGUGUCAUGUGCUGUCAUCUUGGGCCAACAAACUGAUGGUUUAAUGCAGAAUGACACAGCAGCCCAGGAAUUUCGUACUGGAACCUACCUCACGCUGGAGUUGGGGGAGCAAGUCAGCCCACCUGGGAAUUUUAAGUAACAGUUUGGCGUCACCCUCAUCGGUCAUUGAUUUCUGAGUGAAGGUACCUGCCCUGGAAAGGUCAGGGGUUGGGGAGGGAUGGGCUGCAGGAAAUACAUGCUUAUGGCCCUCAAGACAAGGUUCUUUCCACCCAAGCAGGGGCAAUCUUCUCCAAAGGAAACAAAUCUCUCCGUCUGCCUCUCCCUCUUCUCCUCCCCACGUCCUCCCUCUCUCUCAACCCACAAAAAUGCUCAAAAGAGCUAGAAACAUCCAGCAACUUAAAAACAGUGUCAGCAGUCAAUUUAUUAUUCUGCUUUUAGGAGUACUUGUUUGCCAAGUGAAAUUGUCCAAUAUUGAGUAAUUUCGUAAUUAUAGCACAGCUGGUUGGAGAAGAGCCUCUCUCCUGCGGCAGCGGGCCUCGUUCCUGAUGCUGUGUGACUCUGAGGAGGUCUUUUGACCUCUCUGGGCCUCAGUUUCUCCAUCGGGGAAAAUAGAUGGUGGGUGGUGAGGAAGAGUUGGAUAAAUUUAGAAUUUAAUGCCAUGCACGCUUUAUGGACCUCAGCCUGGGAAAUUUUGGCUGCCCCUGCCCCUGAAAGAACUAAUGAGGAACUGGAGUUCCCUGGUGGCCCUGUGGUGAAGGACUUGGUGCUAUCACUUCUGUGGCUUCGGUUUGAUCCCUGGCCUGGGAACUUCUGCAUGCCAUGGUGGAGGGGGAGGAAGUGGCCAAAAAAUUAAAAAAUAAUUAAUUCAAAGGUAGGCAAAUGUGGCUUCUUUCAAAUGAAAGCCUUUUUAAGAAAAAUACCUAAUGGGGAACUCUUCUGUAAAGUCUUCCUCAGAAGCAGCAUGAUUAUUAGCUUCUAUGGAGAAUGAAAGAUCUGCGUACAUGACAGCUGAAGAGGCAGGAAGAGCAAUAUGAUGCCAAGUAAACUUACAGCUGGAAGCUCCUGGGGAUCCUCUGUCUAGAACUAUGGCUCCGUUCUCUUCUGGAAAAACAGACUCUCAGAACAGAAAGACAAAUGGAUUCCCACCAUUGCCUUUGGGGUCUCUCUUGCAUUUUUGCCAGCACAGAGACACAAAAAGAGAGAGAAAUUGUUCUUCCUGGGGAAGAAGAGGCCUAAGGAAUAACUUGUACACAUCAUAGGAAGCGGUCCCCCUGGACUAAGAAGCUCAGCAUUUACAUAUGACAGCUUAUCUUUGAGAUUCAGAAAGAAAAUCUGUGUCCCAUGCAGUCUUAUUUAAUAAUCAUUUUUUCCAUUACAAGUAAAGUGAAUUUGCUCAGACAUAAAUAUGCUAAGCUGUCCAGCUGCUGACCUAACCUGACUGAGUCUCUCUUCAGCUCUGAGCGUGUCACCUUUGAGUUUGUGAUAACUCUCUAGGUCAACAUUAACUGGCCUCAAUUACAUUUUUAUACAGAGUUCAAUUAUGUGUUUAUUUAACUGAUGGCUGCAUUGCUCACUGGGAGAAUUUAUAUUUUAAAAGCAGUUAAAAAUCAGCAAAGAGUUGCAUAACAAAACAGAAAUGCAACACACAAGUUAACGUUUUGCUAGGUUUGACAUAUAUGGCAACUUUGAAUGUUGCCUGGAGCAUCAGUUAAAGAGAGUCAACUAUUGCACAUGGAUAGACAACAAAGAAAGGACAGUUCCAUUGCACUUGACAUAAGAAAACCAAAUCCAUUGUUUAGCACAUGAGGAAGCUACACACUUCCACUUCCAGGCAGCUCUCCAUUCUUUUUCUAUACAGCCGUACCUGAGCUAUGAACAAUGUAUUUUAAUUACAGAAACCUUUAGACAACACAAAUGAUCAAAGAUACUUUGGAGAACGAAGAUUUCAUUAUUUCUUCAUUAUUUUAGCAGGAGGAUGCUGGAGAAUUUUAAACUCUGCCUCUCUUAGAGCAUUAUUUUAAUAAAGACCUGAAUAUAUCUAAGUACCUAGCUUUUAAAAAAUGUGGUUACACGUAUUUUGAAAACCAAGCCAAGAAAUACAAGACCCAUAAAAUCCUGAAGCAUAUUAAAUGACGGUUCCUUUUUCCUUAAUCCACCACCACAAAUAUCAAUUAAAUGUAAUUAUAUUAAAUAAGUUCCCUCGAGAGCAAAUAAAGAUUUGCCAGAACACAAAUAGCAACCCAGGUGAACAAUAUAUAAUUUGCUUGAGUACACAAAUACAGAUGGUAUACUCCAGAACGGAAUGUAACAAAUGUGUGUUUACCGUAACAUACACAUUUCGUUUUUUCUUAGCUACCAGAUGGCUGCAGGCCAAAAAAUACAAAUUAAAAUAUAUGAGUUUUUCUUGCUCUUUUCUUGGAUAAGAGAAUAAAUACUGCAUUUUAUAAUUAAUAACUGUUCAUUAAAAGGCUAUUAAUCAGGACAAUAAUAUAUAAAUGGACUCCACUAGGAGCAAAUGCCAGAAAUAACGGUGUAGGUUUGCACCCUACCCCGCCAAAAAAAAAAAAAAAAAUUAUUUAAGCAACUAUUUUUCUUAUUGAAAACAAAUGUUUUACUGAGCUUGCUAUGAGAGGAAGAAACGAAUUCCUAAAUAGGAAAAUAAAACAGGUAGGAUAGAAAGUUUUUUCUUAACUAUUUGGGGAGCCAACCCUAUUCCACCCUUGCUCCCCUGGAAGCAAAGAACAAGAAAGAGGUGGGGCAGAGAGCAAAAGUCCAACACAACUUUUCCACUUAUGACGAGAAGCCACUCCAGCUGAUGUUUGAAUUCAAAGAUCGCAAGGAAUAUUUCUCAGGAAAGCUUGGGGAUUGUUUGUUUGUUUUCUUUUUCCUACAGGAUAAAUGAGCAAAUGCCAGGCUUGUGCUCCCUUUCAUGAUAUGAUAUGUAAUGUAUGAAUUUAUUCUGUCAGAUAUUUUGAGGGAUGGAAAUUUAAUUCAUUCUCGGGGUCGUAUGGAAAACCUUGCAAAAAUAAUUUAAGAUUGAAUGUGCUGAUAUGUCAAGCAUUUUUAGUCUUUGCCCCUUUUCUUAAAGUAAUACAAAUAAUUGUUUAAAAUGAGAAUCUUGGAAGCACAGGCGUCUUCCUUUUCCUAUUGCUCGCUCUCUUCUAUUGCACCCCCCCUGCCCCCAGUCCUGAAUUUCAUAGUGAGAAAGUUCCAAUUUCAGAUCUGCGGAGUGCUGUGGGAAAGCAGAAGCCGGGGCUCUUGAACGUCCUUGCUGCUCACUGAGAUCCACACUAAGAUACUUUCUAUUAGUGAUUCACGGAGCUCCUGUCGUGGCUCAGCGGUAAUGACUAGUAUCCAUGAGGAUGCAGGUUCCAUCCCUGGCCUUGCUCAGUGGGUUAAGGAACCAGUGCUGCCAUGAGCUGUGAUGUAGGUUGCAGAUGUGGCUUAGGAUCCUGUGUUGCUGUGGCUGUGGUGUAGGACAGCACCUGCAGCUCCGAAUAGACCCGUAGCUGGGAACUUCCAUUGUGUCUCUCCUGAAUAAACCUGCUUUCUGGCUCAGUUCUCAGGACAGAGCCCUCCCUGCCUGCCCACUUGUGUCCUUCACAAGUGUCCUGUGUUAAUAGAUUUACUUCUCG
ensembl:lncRNA